CCCUCCGUGCCGGGCCAACGGCCGUGGGCGGGCUUGAGGGGCCGGCGGGAACGGGGAGCCCGGGGAGCCUGGAGAUCCAGAUCCUGGCCCGGCCCGGCCCCGCCUCUGCCCGGGACGGCUUCCGGGGCAGGCGGACCCUAACUCGGGAACCUCAUCAUCUCCGGCAGCUUCGCGUGUUGCCGUGUCAGCUGUGCCCGGACGCCUGUCACGCACAGCGGGCAGGCGUCACGCACUGAUCACAGAAACUGGCAAAAAGGCAGAAAGAAAAAUGCAGUGGGAGCACGUAUGGGAGAUGUAUCACGUGAAGAGAAGACAUUCUGAAGAGUGAGGCAGUCCCAGGGGGAAACCAGUGAUACCAGCUGUGAAAUGUUCAGUCUCAGAACGAGUAGAUGGUGCCUGCAGUGUGCAGUGCUACACAAGUUCAGACCGAUGAAGAUGUAACUUAGAGGUACGGUACCAAGGCUGCUUUUCUGUGAGAUGAAUGGUGAAGACUGAGUUACAGGUAGUUGUCAUUAUUCAAAUACAUCUUGGUAACAGGAAAAGAAGCAACGGCAAAACAAGUGUUAUCUGGGGGCUUUAAAGAAAAGGUGGGUUUCGGACUACUGGUAAGGGUAUGGGAUCUGUGCUGAGGCCACGGUUUGUUUGUAAAAUAGUUUGCGAGUAUUAUGAUUAUACUGUUACUUUUGAAGCCAUCUACCUUUAAAGUUUUGACAUGGCUGCUUAAAUAUAUAACCUAAAGUGUCUGUCAUCAAAUAGUUAUUUAUAUAUACACCUACAUUGAUACAUUUUAUGGCUAUGCUAGAACAGCAAACUAUGAAGAGCAGUCAUAUUUAGUUGUGUACAAUCUAAUUUCACAGAAGAGACAGAGAUUAAAACCCUUCUUAAUUCAAAUACAUUUAAAACCAAUACACAGAAAUAGAGGCUAUCCUGAGAAAACAUACCAACCACGUUAUCUUCCAAGAGAAAAUCAAAGCUAAUUUUUGGAAGGUAGUCAAAUAUUAUUCUUGCAUCUUUUCUGUAAGUGAAAGUGUUUUGUUUUUUAAAAAAAAUUUAUGACAAAAUUAAAACAAGGAAGGUUGCUUUGCUAGAAAAAAAACUAUUGCCUUUCAGUAAAUAGGGUUUCACACGAUCUUUUAAAGAUUUUUUUUCCUUGUUAAACUGCAGAUGCAAUCCUGAGAAGUGCAGAGUACCUGCCAUUGUUACCGAAGUCAGUAGGAGUUGUACUGCAUUAACAAGAACAAGCCCUUUUUGUUAGUCUCCGGGUUUUCAGUCACGGCGUCACCGUGUGUGAUAUAACUGAUACCAUCAGAGAAUUUUGACAUUGGCCUCAACUGAAGCAGACAUAAGGCCAUAGUUUAAUUACACAGGUAUGAAAAAUCAGAUAAUAUGCUGAACCUUUCUGGAAGAGAGAUGUACUUGGGAAAUCUCUUGCAGGAAAGAAAGGUAAGAGAUACUUGUGUAGAAUAUUUAAAGAGGCAUACACACAGAUUUCACUGAAGUAGUGUUAUAUAAUUUCACAUAUAAAAUAUGGAAAUAUAUUUUAACUCUAAUCCAUUUUUAACCUCAUUUUUUAUCAACCAUUUUAUUGGUUUUCCCUUCUAAAAUUCAACACAUCUUUUUAUAGUUUUUACUGGCAUAUCCUUACUCAUAUUUCCUUGAAAAUUUCCCUCAUUUUAAACUCCUAAGUGUCUAUAAAUAGCUAUUUAAAGUAAAAUAAUUUAUAUACCUUUUUGGUGACUUCAGCAGAGUGACUUAACCUGUUUAUAGUGGGGAGUACAUCCUACUAGAGAUGCUGGCUCAUGGGCACCUUGCUUCCCCUUUAUGAUCACUGAUGAUUUCUACAGUAGUUAGUUGUAUGGAAGAGAAUCAGUAGAAAGGGGUUUGGUGUGGUGGUGGUAGAAGGGUCAGCAUCACGUGACCAAGCAGCUUUCUGCAAGCCAGUUUGAAAAUGUUUUUUCUGCCCACGGAGGAAAAGAGAGGCUAUCCGUUUCCAGAUAACAAGCCAAGGAAGUUGGGGAAGUACUAUACGCAUACAGUGCAUGCCGUUAAAAGUUUUAAAAGCCAACGGAGCAGAUCAAUACCAUUAGUGUUAUUGGGAGUUAGGUAAUUAAAUUCUGUAGGCUUGAAAAAUCUCAGACAUUAUGAUAUACAUUAUAUUUACAAUUCUUUAUGUACAUAUAGACAAAUAUUUUAUAUCCAUAACGUGCUCAACAUAUCCUGGUCCAUAAUCUGAGGAACUAUAUACAACCAUAGCACUCAUGGAUGAGCAGUGUGCGCUACUAAAUACAGUAUAUGAUGACAGAAGAUAUCUGUGAGCUGUAAGUGCAUGGAACUGUCUUAUGCAACUCCUUCAUUUUUUGUUAGAGCUCCUUAGCACAAUAUGGACAGUUCUUCCUUUUUCACCUUAUUGUAGACUUUAGGGAUUUUUUUUUUUUUCCUUUUCAGUGCUGAUUCGUCUCUCCAGGAAAAUUCAAGAUCACUGUCCUACUAAGUGUUAACUCAGCCCAACAGAUCUUUCCCUCACUCUCAAAAAAUUAAUACCAUUAUAGUACCAUUAUAAAAAGAAAAAAAAUAUAUUAUCUUUGUCAUUUAUUCAGGAAAGAUCAAUUACAUUUGGUGAACCAAGGUAUUCUGGAAGAAAACUGUUUAAGAGAAUACAGUGCUCUGCAACCAUGUGCAAAUGCCAUAAGUGAAGUAUCUCCCUUUUUAACACUUUUCCUAGAAGAUGCAAUGGAAGACAGACUUUUUAUUGGGACUGGAUUAGAAGUGAGUCCUCCUUCCCACUCUCUGCAGGACAUAUCCCAAGAUAGACUGAGCCCAUGACACGGUAGUUACAGGUACCCGAUGUUCAUAAGAGAAAUUCUCAGCUGCCAGAACAUGUCCCACAGAAGCAUUGCAUAAGCUGAGUUAAAAUAGCUAAAUACGUGCUUCAGUUUGCAAUGGGGCCAGGUGAAAUUUAGCAACUGGCCUUCAGUACAAGUUAAUGUAUGUUCUAUGCUGCUUUACCUUGGUGGCUGAUAUGGUACCACGGGGUCAUUCAGACAUGGAAAUUGCUGUGGUUAACACAGUCUUACUAGGCACCUCCACAGUCCCAGCUAUUCCACAUAUUAAAUCUCUACUGGAUCUGAUUCAAGUACAUUUGUACAUUACUUAUGGCCCACCUUUGCAUCCUGUAUGAAUCUGCAUUGAAAAAGAAGGUAACAGAGCCCAGUGUUAGGCUCAUCAUAUAAAAAAUGGAAAAUGGGUAGUCAGUCUUAAAUUACAGAAAAGUCAAAGUACUGCAGUCUAGGAGUUCCAUAUCAGAAUAAUCCAGCUAAUACCGAAUACAAUUUUGGACCCAGAAUGCUUUGUCCAGAACAACUAAUUUAAUUGAAUUUAUUGUUGAGUGCACUAUUUGCAAUUAAAGGAUUGCCUUAAGCUGAAAAGUCUUGGCUGAUGCCUUAAAGCAUAGCAUGCGUAUAAGCUUUUACUGGACAGAUGCUGAAUUUACAUUCAUGGAAACAAAAAGCGUAACUUUUGUUUAAGAAAACUUUAAAUUACAUAGCUCAAUUCUCUUCCUUUCACCCCAUGGAGUCCCAUUGCUUCUCAGUAAUUCCAAUGUGCACACCCCUCAUGAGCAAAAUCUACUAAAUCUUCUGCUGUUACUUGUUCAAUUUUAACACCAGCAUUAUGGACAAGAUCCUCUCUUUUUCACAGGUUCAGCAUGAGGACUGGAUACAAUCAGUGCAUGAGAUUCAUCUCACCAAACACAGAUGCCUGCAUAUGAGCUGGUCAUUUUGAUCUCUUUGAAUGCAGAGAAACAGGUGCUUCUUUGGCACAACUCAUCUAACCCAGAAGUAAAUAAUUACAUUUAUCAGAUGAUUCACACCCUAGAAGAGCCCACUUCAUUGAUUAAAAGGGAACCUCGGAUGACUACCUCAAAUGCAGACCUCCAAAAUUAGGUGGAAUAAUUAAAUUAUUCCUCCCAAUAGGUCUCAAGGCUCUGACAAAUAGGGAUAGCUUGAGUAAGGAUGACUGAUAUGGUUUCCAUGUUAGAUGACUACCCCGUUGGCUGCAUGGACAUCCACGUUGUUUGUCAGUCAACAUUGGAAGCACUGUGGUUGGCACAUGAUGGACAGCUGGGGCAGUGCACUUGUUUGGCCCAGAGACACUAACCUGGUCCUGCUCAGCUGUCAAGGCCCUCACUUAAGCUGUGCUUUGGAGGCUGAAGUGAUACACAAGUAGUAGUAACAGUAUAGAUUAACAACAGUCAGAUCUGUGAGAAAAAUCUACACAUGGAUAUUACUUGUAAAUAACAUAGAACUAUUUCCUUGUGUCCUUGCCUUUUUUUUUUUUUUUUUGGCUUGCCUAUUACGCACACUUUAUUUUGUGAACUUUCAAUGAGUACUUUUAGUUAAGAAGCACUCUGCAAUGUGGGCCAGAUUCUCAAAAACAGCCUACUAGAUUUGCUUAAAUUUGUUUAAACUUAAACUCUAACUGCACAUUGCAAUAUUCAGGAUAACUAAAUAGAGCUAAUUUUCACCUGAAGAAACUAUACUCUAUAACAAAGAAAGUUACUCUAAUUUCACAUAUACAUUUGGGGCCUGCAAAGAAUUAAGCUCACAUUUGAAAAAUAACACCUGUUGGUUUUUUGCUUGUUUUUAAAUAAAAAAAUAGGAAAAAACAAAACAAAACAAGAAUAGGAUUGGAAUCAGAGCAAGAGCAAAUAAAAUGUUUCCAAAAUGGGGAAAAUGUAAAUUUGAUCAAGGUAACUAUUAUAAAAGUGUCACACUGCACUACAACAACAACAAAAACCCAAGCUGUAUAAACCCAAAAAAUCCAGGAUUUACAAUGUUUUUAAUAAAUGUCCUCACCCAAA